AGGACACUGAGGGUCAGAGGACACUGAGGGACAGAGGACACUGAGGGUCAGAGGACACUGAGGGUCAGAGGACACUGAGGGUCAGAGGACACUGAGGGUCAGAGGUCACUGAGGGUCAGAGGACACUGAGGGUCAGAGGUCACUGAGGGACAGAGGACACUGAGGGUCAGAGGUCAGUGAGGGUCAGAGGACACUGAGGGACAGAGGACACUGAGGGACAGAAGACACUGAGGGUCAGAGGUCACUGAGGGACAGAGGUCACUGAGGGUCAGAGGUCACUGAGGGACAGAGGUCACUGAGGGACAGAGGACACUGAGGGACAGAGGUCACUGAGGGUCAGAGGUCACUGAGGGACAGAGGACACUGAGGGUCAGAGGAGGGACAGAGGACACUGAGGGUCAGAGGAGGGACAGAGGACACUGAGGGACAGAGGUCACUGAGGGUCAGAGGACACUGAGGGACAGAGGACACUGAGGGACCAGAGACCAGGAUUCUGUCAAAUAAAGCUUCAUCAGUGAGACGUCCUCGUAGGUUCACGUUGGAGCACAGGAACCAUGUGACUGCAACGUUCAGCACCUUUGUUGUAGGUUAAAGUGCAGACGCUCAGAAACAGACAGGAAACAGAGAACAGAGCAGCUGUUAGCACGUCAUGGAGCUGUACGAUCAGCUCAAAGGUCACAUGACCAGUUCUACAAGAUCAACUCUAAUGGACACAACAGCAACGUAGGAACAAACAACAGGAACCUCCAGGAUCGACAUGAGUUCAUUACAUACAACAAGGCUUCACCUCUACACUGGACAUUUGACUGUUACUGUUCUGAAGGAAAGGAACAGGUCAGAGACCAGAGUCCAGGUCUCAGUCUGGGUCCUGGUCCAGCUCAGACUCAGACUGUUUCUGUGUAGUGAGUGAGUGAGUGAGUGAG